CAUUAUGAUGAACUCAAUAUUUUCGCUGUGUUCUUUCUGAAUACGUAUGUGGAAGAAAAACAUUUCACCUUGGAGAACUGAAAG
rnacentral:snoRNA from 1 species